GACAGAGGAUGCAAGCGUUAUCCGGAAUGAUUGGGCGUAAAGCGUCUGUAGGUGGCUUUUAAGUCCGCCGUCAAAUCCCAGGGCUCAACCCUGGACAGGCGGUGGAAACUACCGAAGCUGGAGUACGGUAGGGGCAGAGGGAAUUUCCGGUGGAGCGGUAAAAUGCGUAGAGAUCGGAAAGAACACCAACGGCGAAAGACACUCUGCUGGGCCGACACUGACACUGAGAGACGAAAGCUAGGGGAGCGAAUGGG
rnacentral:rRNA from 1 species